UGGGGAAUAUUGCACAAUGGGCGCAAGCCUGAUGCAGCCAUGCCGCGUGUGUGAAGAAGGCCCUAGGGUUGUAAAGCACUUUCAGCGAGGAGGAAAGGUUAUAGUUUAAUAGACUAUAGCUGUGACGUUACUCGCAGAAGAAGCACCGGCUAACUUCGUGCCAGCAGCCGCGGUAAUACGAGGGGUGCAAGCGUUAAUCGGAAUUACUGGGCGUAAAGCGUACGCAGGCGGUUUGUUAAGCGAGAUGUGAAAGCCCCGGGCUCAACCUGGGAACUGCAUUUCGAACUGGCAGACUAGAGUAUGAUAGAGGGUGGUAGAAUUUCAGGUGUAGCGGUGAAAUGCGUAGAGAUCUGAAGGAAUACCGAUGGCGAAGGCAGCCACCUGGGUCAAUACUGACGCUCAUGUACGAAAGCGUGGGGAGCAAACGGG
rnacentral:rRNA from 1 species